CAGCCACAUCACAUUGAAACACUGGUUUCCAUACAAUCAACAAAGUUAAGCAACAUUGAGCCUGGUCAGUAUCUAGAUGGGUGACCACUUGGGAAUCCCAGGUGCUGUAAG
rnacentral:rRNA from 1 species